UGAACUACUCGAAUAUGUUUAUUCUAAAAGACAGAGGCCCUUAAAGAAAAGUUUUUGGUAUAAUUGAGAUGCAAAAGCCAUACAGGCAGAGGUUCUGAUGGCUUCUGUCAAAACAAGAUGCUCAAGUCCACCAGCUCAUUCUGAAUAUAGGGGAGGAACACGGAGUGCUCCACAACCUGGGUCAUGGCUGUGUCUUUCAAGAGGGCUCCAGCCCCCAGGUCGACUUUGCUCAAGAAAAUGGGAUCCUGCCAAACCACAAAAUGUGUAUUGUACAGCCAACCUUUCCAAAACAUUUUCAAUAAUUUUCCACUUACCCCUUUCUGUACUUUUCCAUUCCCUCUUAGUCCCUUUUGGUUUUCCAUGGCCUCUUAGUCUCCUUUCUAUUGUCCUCAUUUCACUUCCCAUAGUCUCUUUUUCUUCUCUGUCUUUUCUCCCUUCAAAAACGUCAGUCACAUUUGUCUUAUUUGGAGUUGAACUCAGUUAUAUUGG